AAUCUACACUCUCUUAAUGUGACUGCCUCUCAGACAUCAGAAGACAACCUCACAUCACCUAAAUACAGCUGCCCAGCUUACUGGAGCCUCUGUGCUGAAUCAGUGGGACUUGUUUUAGCUUUUCAUGGACCUGAGUGAGCUCUGCAGCCACCACCUAUAACUGAGGUCUCUUGUGCCAUGCUUUGAAAGGAAGUUACCCACAGCAACUCUCAUUUGAGGAGAAUAAAGCCAUGAGGACUUGCAUUUUUAACCUACACAUGGCCAGCAAAGGCACACAGAGUUGACAUGGAACCCAGAACCAACUGAGGCAAAUAUUGGCCUCAGAACACAGGACA